rnacentral:rRNA from 1 species
UACGUAGGUGGCAAGCGUUAUCCGGAUUUAUUGGGCGUAAAGGGAACGCAGGCGGUCUUUUAAGUCUGAUGUGAAAGCCUUCGGCUUAACCGGAGUAGUGCAUUGGAAACUGGGAGACUUGAGUGCAGAAGAGGAGAGUGGAACUCCAAGUGUAGCGGUGAAAUGCGUAGAUAUAUGGAAGAACACCAGUGGCGAAAGCGGCUCUCUGGUCUGUAACUGACGCUGAGGUUCGAAAGCGUGGGUAGCAAACAGG